rnacentral:lncRNA from 1 species
CCUUCUCUGGUCCUUCUCUCCACCCCCCAGUGCCGGGGUCCCCCGGGAGCUGGGCGGACGGAAAGCAGGUGCCACACCGAUCACGGCGUAAUUAAGGGAUUAAUCCACCUCCUUCUACCCUCCCACCCCUGCCCCGACGGCCACUCGCAGGACGGGAGACUGGAGGCGCAGAACGCGAGUUGGAGUCCCCGCCCAGCCGGUUCUGGACGCGGCGGGAGGGUUUCCCUCCUUUCUAAAGCCCCCUCGAUGCGGGGUGAACUCUGUCGGACCCUCCCGUUCAAUCGGACUUCAGAACAGGAACCCCUUCUCUCUUUUCCGACCCUUAGAGAAACUGAGGCAAAAGUCAAGCACGCUCCUCCAGCUCUCGAAGGCCCGAGGACCCGGGAUGGGGUGGCGCGUCCUGACCCGGAACUUCUACUCCAGAUGCCUAGUCUAGGAGUUCUAGCAGGAGACUCAGGAAUAAAAUUGGAGAGGAGAAGCCCGGGAAAGCCCCUGCAACUCGCGUUUAUUUGCAUACCCCCCCCCCCCACCACGCAUUUAUUUGCAUCCUUUUUGCAUUACUCGGCACGGACAUGUUUUAUUAAAUUGUUUUUACAUUUUUAAGGAGUCUGAAGGGAAACCAGAGAGUGCAGGACAAAGACAAAGAGAGCAAUCUUAUUUCUGUAAAUGCAAGUGCAGGGGAGGGGAUGGCGUGAUGCAAAAUUCGUGCAAAUCUGUUUCAAACCAGCAAAAGAAAAGAAAGAAAGAAAGAGAAAAGAAGGAAAGAAAAGAAAAGAAAAGAAAAAGGAAACCACCUCACGCUUCCCCAACUCCAGCAGGCCUUACUUUUCUGGGACUCUUUCUACUUGAAGAUCUCCCACUCCUGCUCUGCAAACACACACACACUUUCUAGGCUGGCGAUGAGUUGGGGUAACAGUGGAAUAGAGCCCUAGCCGGGUCAAGGAUCCCUGGCCUUGCUGAUGGUUGAGUGGCAGGGUGCUGGCUCAGCCGUGGCAACCUUCCCAGGGUAGGUGGCUUCUCACUGAGGGUGGUGGACUGGGGAACAAACAGGUCGAGAUCCCGAGGAGUGGAUGCUGCAAAGUCGUGCAGACCCGGGAGUAAGCAGAGCCAAGAGCUGGAGUAUUUCAGGCACAGAAAGCGCUGGAGUGAACCAGAGAUGUCGAGGAGGGGAAGGCUUGUCCCAAGACCCCUCCCUCAACUCACACCCCUCCCGGCGAGGCCUUGACCUUCGGGACGUUUAGAUGCCUUCCUACCCCUUCAGCUUCGGCUUGUGCUUGGAAGGCCGGAAGUCUUCAGCGGCCGCGCCCUGGGAGCUGUUCUUUUCGCCUCGUCUACCCCCCGCUGGCCUAGGAGCCUGCGGCGCGUCACCGACGACCUAAAUCCCGAGCAGACCCUGAGACCGGGUGGGAGGGGGCUAACGACGCAUUCUUUCUAAAAUACCAGGAUACUGGGCCUCUGUCCCUCGCUCCAGGGCCAGGCUGCACGCCAGAGGGAUAGUAAAGGUUUAUUUCCCCACCCGAAAUCCACCCCUCCGGAGGUAAGCGUCAGUCCUACAUCUGCCAAUUACGAGACGUCCCGCUCUGAACCUCGGUUUACCCAUCCGACAGUAAGGAAAUUAACUCUUUGAUCUUCUCUGAUCCUCCAAAUUCCCGGUCCUGGGGCUCGCUGCCCGACCCGCUGUUGACCGGGAUCACCGGGCUGGCAUCACUCCAGACGCCCGAGCAGGAGAGAGACUGGGCGUCUUGGCACCCAGCCCUGCUCAGGGGCGAAGAAGGCUGCAGCACGCAGGAAACCGGCCCCACCACGUGCAUCCUGCCCCUUCUUAAUCCCCUGAUUUGCUCCCGGUCGGCCUCUCGGCAAACACAGAGCCAGCCUGCGUCUAGGGGCUUGUCACCCUGUUAGCGGAUUUGUUCCCAGAGACGGCGCAGUUAAUUGGCCCUUUAUGUGGGGAUCAGGGUGUAUUUGCUCAGGGUUCCCUGAGCGCAGGCGGCGGCUCAGCCCCCAGGCAGCGCUGCUUCCUAACCCCACCAUGCCCGUGUGGAGGCUGGACAAACAGGGCACUGCCCGCUUAUGCCCCCUCUCCUCCCGCAGAGUCUCCUGUCCGUCUUGCACACCUUGCUCCUUCUCAGCAUUCUGUUUUUCCUCUCCUAGCUCCUUCUUCACCUUGUUUCUCUCUACUCUUCCUUUCUAUUUCUCUUCUAUCUCCAGAAUAACCUCCCUUUGUUUUCUUCCCUGUCCUACAUGAAGCUCUUUAUCCUAUUCCAGUCCUAUUUUUUUAAAAAGAAAACAUUAUUUCAACUUCAAAAAAUAAAAUAAAAUACCAAAGUCAGCUUAACAAAUUAGGGAAGUAUUACUUUAAAAAUUUCUGUCCAGGCACAUUUAAUCCUAGAAACAAACCCAAUCAUUUCUCCCGUGUUCAGAAAGAUAAAGAAAUGCAUGCAGACUGGAUUAAUGACAUGACCAAGCUCUCCUGGUUAAUGAAGAAAAUGAAGGGGGAAAAAAGUUUGAUCAUAUUCGUAUCUCAUAAAACUAAAUCCCAU